AAUACCACAGAAUAAUAAUAAGUACUACGUACAGAAGUUUUACUUCGCGAAGGUAUUUAAAAAAAUGUAUGCUCAAUGUCAUUAACAAUAUGGUGUAAUUUAGCUUGUCUCAAGAGUCGAGCAAGUUUGUCAGAAGUUUUGUUGACAAACGUCAGUGAUCGGUACUGCGCCGAAGCUAUUGGCUCCGUGCACGAUUACAGCGCCAACUAGCGUCCACAACUUUGUGGGCUCUGUCACAUUGACAUUUAGGUCGUAUAUUUGUGAAAAAAUAUCGAAAUGAAAAAAUAACAAAUAUUUUCAACUAAUAAAUUGUUGUGAUACCACGAUUUGGGUGGAAAAAAGGUUUUGAAAUCAUUUUGGUCAUUCAAAUCAAAUGAGAUCGAAAUGAGUAUCGUUUUGAAGACCGGGUUUGUGAGAGUUACAAUAUCAAAUUCCAACCACAAACCGUAUUUAAAGGAAAGUUGUUGGUAUUGGCUGGACAAGUCCGAGAUGUAGAAGAAUUAAGAACAAAACAAGGGCAGAGUUCAAUAAUUCACGCUCUCAUCAUAAGGCAAACAUCUGUGCACAACAACUACUGUGACUCAUUUUUGUACUACCACGUUGUAUAGUUUAGUUAUUUCCAAAUUGUAAACGGCUAUUAAAACAGCCCUAUCGAAAUACAGUCCACUCUUUUAUUUAAGUUCCCAGUAGGACCCUUUUCAUGCGAUUAAUUAAUGAUAUUAAAAUGUAUUAUGUAGAAUCGCUUUGCCAUUGACAGAUACAUCUGAUGACAGAGCUAACAUUAUUUCUACUUUUGACCACCAUGAGCGCUGCGAUAGAUUAUGUCCCCCCCACCUAGUACUUCGCACCCAGCGAAUAGGGCUGACUUCGGUAAAAUGAUGUGACGUGAGGUGCCAAUCUGCAGAAAAUGGCGGAGGAAAUACAUGAUUUAGCAUGAAUUAUCAUGAAUAAUAUUAACUAAUUAUUUACCUCUCAGUGUCUUGAGGCAACUUAAAAAAGUACAUUCUGUGUUUUUAUUAUUAUUUAGGCAGUUAAAUACUGCACAGUAUUUAGUACACCAUUUUCUUUAUUUUUUUCCAUCAUACACAAGAAUACGCGUGCGUGAGUCAAUGUUCGCUCGUAUGUGAGGCCUUGUCGAAUAGUACUCUUGUAGGGGGCAAUCGUGCGUGUUUUGUUUUCGAUGUAAACUCGCGGAGAUGAACAGGCCUGGUAAUACUUA